rfam:Schistosoma rodhaini strain Burundi genome assembly, scaffold: SROB_scaffold0021776
AUCCAGAUGACGAGUCCCAAAUAGGACGAAACGCACGUCAAACUGGAU